rnacentral:rRNA from 1 species
UGCCAGCCGCCGCGGUAAUACGAGGGGUCCUAGCGUUUUUCGGAAUUACUGGGCGUAAAGCGCAUGUAGGCGGACGUAUAAGUCAGAUGUGAAAGCCCAGGGCUUAACCCUGGAAGUGCAUCUGAUACUGUAUGUCUUGAGUAUGGAAGAGGGUAGUGGAAUUCCUGGUGUAGUGGUGAAAUACGUAGAUAUCAGGAGGAACACCGGCGGCGAAGGCGGCUGCCUGGUCCAAUACUGACGCUGAGAUGCGAAAGCGUGGGGAUCAAACAGGAUUAGAUA